rnacentral:rRNA from 1 species
ACGUAGGGGGCAAGCGUUAUCCGGAUUUACUGGGUGUAAAGGGAGCGUAGACGGAUGUGCAAGUCUGAAGUGAAAGCCCGGGGCUCAACCCCGGGACUGCUUUGGAAACUGUGUAUCUGGAGUGCCGGAGAGGUAAGCGGAAUUCCCAGUGUAGCGGUGAAAUGCGUAGAUAUUGGGAGGAACACCAGUGGCGAAGGCGGCUUACUGGACGGUAACUGACGUUGAGGCUCGAAAGCGUGGGGAGCAAACAG